ACUAGGGGCAAAUCCUCUUUUCCAGCCUAUUGCACAAACUCGGCUGCAAUGUUUGCACAGCCUCUUUGCGAAACUUGAUCAUGGUUGGUGCACGGUUAACGACCUUUGCACUGAGAAAGGGAGAUAUCCAACCUGAGACAGAGAAGAAUAUUUUGCUAUAAGCGUUUUAACAUUCAAGUCGUCACUAAAGGUGUGAACCAUGUGGCUGUUGCUUUUUCUUGCAAAGGGACCCAGAAACUUCUCCAGGAAUGUCUGUCUGUCCAUCUGUCUUUGGAAGGAAGGAAUGCAGCAAUCUGGAGGGCAGGAGUGAUGUUCGUCAACGAAUUGAGGUGAGAAAAGACAGAGAAAUGCAUGAAUUGAGAUUGUGGAUUGGACUCUGUCUGCUGGACACAUGUUGGAUCAUGCUGAAAGUCUUAAGUCAAGUGGCAGAUGCCCUCUUUAAUGGAAAAUGGAUUUGAAUCUAUAAUUACCACAACCAUCACAUGUCUAAUUUGCAGUUGUGUGCACAAACAAAUAAUUUGCCCAUGUACUGCCUGUACUUUCGCAUUAAAUGCUCUUGGCUCCUGC